GUGGAAUGUUCGGUGUUUAUUUUUGCUUUUUAGUACUAUACGAUUUCUUGAGUCUGGCUGUUCAAUUCAGAAUUUAUAUGAAUACCUGAAAUGAUAGAUAGAGUAGGAAAUUGUAUCAAACAAACAUAUGUUGUACAUGAAAAUGGGGAGCUUAAUAUCUAGGUGAUGUUUUGUAACUAAUUUGGCUCCACCAUUCAAAAAAAAAACUAAUUUGGCUCCCAAGAUUUAUCGAAGUUGUUAUCUUAGUGCUUUCCUAGCGUCUCCCAGCCAAUGCAGCGUGUGAACAAUAAUUGAAUGUUUUGCUUAGGCUUCAGUUCUUAUGCCACUUUUUCUUCAGAAGGCUACACCGUGGGGCUCAUCUUCAAGAGACCAUCCACCUGACGUGCUUGCUGCAACCACACAGGAUUCUUGCUCCCAACGAGUCAGCUUCCAGCAGCGGCGCAGCGAUCCUCCUUCCAUGCUUGUCACUGCAUCCUCCACCAGUUGAAUCACAGGAUAACAGACCUUGGUGUCUCAAAAAGACAGGGCACUCGGAACCGUCAUUCUUGGACAUAUCUGGAACCGUCAGUAUCCAUAGCAGAAUAUAGCUCUAGCAACAGUUGUUGCUUUGUCAGACAGCUACCCUAUUACAAUCGUGAUCGAUUGCCUACAACAUGGGAGAGCGCAUGAAGAUCAUCCAUGCAGUAUUUGUACUACUUCUUCUUGUAUGCCUCGCUACUCAUGGGCAAUGCAAUGGCAGAGGCCUCCGAGACAAUGACCCUGAUACCUGGUGCAAAAAGAGUGCAAGUAUUCCAAUAUGCAACCCGGAUAAAGAUAGAUGCUACUGCUGUGUAGGAAAUUGGCAAUGCUACAAGACAAUGCAGGAGUGCGAUGAUAAGUGCUCACUUCCACCAUCUUCGGUGGCAAUCCCCUCCUCUUCUUGUAGGCUUCGCUCCCCAUGGGCAAUGGCACGAGUUUUCGGGUAGAUAUACAGUAGAUGGAUGGAACACAUGGAAUAUCUACCAGAAGACGGUGGUAUACGUCCAGGCAUGUAGAAAGUUAUGGUAGUUUUUUUCUUUAUCAUGGCAACUUUGUGUGUUUUAGUUAUAUACAUGAAAUCCUCGACAUGUGGGGCUUCUAUUAUCUAGAUCAUGGCAAUUUCCUCUGUUUAGCUAUAUAUAUGAAGUUCAUGUAUGUGUGGCACUUUUAUUAUGAAGAUCAUGGCAACUUUUUGCGUAUCAAGUCAUAUAGCAGUUUUAUUAUAAGGAUAAACUCUCUCAACUUUUGUCGUUUUGUGAUGUUUUCACGAACAUACAUGGGUAAUUUCUGAUCAUUUUGUGCUCCACAAAUGAUGCUCAUCUUAAAGUGUUUUUUUUCUGUCAGAUCCAUACAGCUUUUGGGUUAUAAUUUUUGUACUCCCUCUAAACUAAUAUUUAGUGAUCUAAAAUGUUUCCAUGGUUCUUGGUUUCAUGCUGAAUCUCAGAUUUCAUGCUUGUUUUGUUUUCUGAAGAAGGUACGACGCGGAACAGCUAAGUAUGCCAGGAGCAGAUCCCAGCCUUUCAGGCUUGGUUUUUGUUUUGUAGGGAACUAAGCUCGACUUUAUUGAUUAACAACGAAGUUCAUAGGGAUGAUUACAGUAUCACGGGGUUUGUGCUUGAACUGGCAUUCAUCAGAACCAGCAACCCGUGCGAUCUCGGAUAAUAGUGCGGCAGCUUCCUCCCGUCUUCCUUGAUAUAUCAUUAACAACUGUCAAACAAUUGGAUGCUAUCAGUAGGACAUGCACGAGGAGAUCAUCAGCGAGGGCUCACGUUUUUUAUUUUUAUUUUUUGAGAAACACCCUGAACUUGAUAGCAGAUGAACCCAAGAAAACA